AUUGAACGCUGGCGGCAGGCCUAACACAUGCAAGUCGAGCGGAUGAAGGGAGCUUGCUCCUGGAUUCAGCGGCGGACGGGUGAGUAAUGCCUAGGAAUCUGCCUGGUAGUGGGGGAUAACGUCCGGAAACGGGCGCUAAUACCGCAUACGUCCUGAGGGAGAAAGUGGGGAAUCUUCGGACCUCACGCUAUCAGAUGAGCCUAGGUCGGAUUAGCUAGUUGGUGGGGUAAAGGCCUACCAAGGCGACGAUCCGUAACCGGUCUGAGAGGAUGAUCAGUCACACUGGAACUGAGACACGGUCCAGACUCCUACGGGAGGCAGCAGUGGGGAAUAUUGGACAAUGGGCGAAAGCCUGAUCCAGCCAUGCCGCGUGUGUGAAGAAGGUCUUCGGAUUGUAAAGCACUUUAAGUUGGGAGGAAGGGCAGUAAGUUAAUACCUUGCUGUUUUGACGUUACCAACAGAAUAAGCACCGGCUAACUUCGUG
rnacentral:rRNA from 1 species